GAAAGGGGUGCUAAUACCGCAUAAGUCCACUUCGGUGGGGAAAGAUGGCCUCUCCUUGGAAGCUAUCACCAGAAGAUGAGUCCGCGGCCCAUCAGUUAGUUGGUAGGGUAAUGGCCUACCAAGGCAACGACGGGUAGCUGGUCUGAGAGGAUGAUCAGUCACACUGGAACUGAGACACGGUCCAGACUCCUACGGGAGGCAGCAGUGGGGAAUAUUGCGCAAUGGGCGAAAGCCUGACGCAGCGACGCCGUGUGGGUGAUGAAGGUCUUCGGAUCGUAAAGCCCUGUGGGAGAGGGAAGAACAACCUGACAGAACAAUACCUGGCAGGUCUGACGGUACCUCUUCAGAAGGCACCGGCUAACUCCGUGCCAGCAGCCGCGGUAAUACGGAGGGUGCUAACGUUGUUCGGAAUCACUGGGCGUAAAGCGCGUGUAGGCGGCAUGGCAAGUCAGAUGUGAAAGCCCUCGGCUUAACCGAGGAAGUGCAUUUGAAACUGCUAAGCUAGAGUACGGGAGAGGGUNGUAGAAUUCCGGUGUAGAGUGAAAUUCGUAGAU
rnacentral:rRNA from 1 species